UUAAAGGGUGCGUAGNCGGAUUAGAUAGUCAAAGGUGAAAGCCUGCAGCUUAACUGUAGAAGUGCCUUUGAUACUGCUAAUCUUGAGUACAGUUGAGGCGAGUGGAAUGUGUAGUGUAGCGGUGAAAUGCAUAGAUACUACACAGAACACCAAUUGCGAAGGCAGCUCGCUAAGCUGUUACUGCCGCUCAGGCACGAAAGCGUGGGGAGCGAACAGGGUUAGAUACCCUGGUAGUCCACGCUGUAAACUAUGAUCACUAGCUGUUGGCGAUAAAUUGUCAGUGGCUCAGCGAAAGCGUUAAGUGAUCCACCUGGGGAGUACGAUCGCAAGGUUGAAACUCAAAGGAAUUGACGGGGGCCCGCACAAGCGGUGGAACAUGUGGUUUAAUUCGAUGAUACGCGAGGAACCUUACCUGGGCUUAAAUGUAGCGCGACGUCUCGAGAAAUCGGGAUUCCCUUCGGGGCGAACUACAAGGUGCUGCAUGGUUGUCGUCAGCUCGUGCCGUGAGGUAUCGGGUUAAGUCCCAUAACGAGCGCAACCCUUAUUGUUAGUUGCCAGCGGAUAAUGCCGGGGACUCUAACAAAACUGCCCGUGUAAACGGGAGGAAGGUGGGGAUGACGUCAAAUCAGCACGGCCCUUAUGUCCAGGGCUACACACGUGUUACAAUGGCUGGAACAAAGGGCAGCUACCACGCAAGUGGAUGCUAAUCUCUAAAUCCAGUCCCAGUUCGGAUCGAAGUCUGCAAUUCGACUUCGUGAAGAUGGAAUCGCUAGUAAUCGCGCAUCAGCAAUGGCGCGGUGAAUAUGUUCCCGGGCCUUGUACACACUGCCCGUCAAGCCAUGGAAGUUAGUAGUACCUGAAGUCCGUAACCGAAAGGAGCGGCACUAGGGUAAGACUAAUGACUGGGGCUAAGUCGUNANAAG
rnacentral:rRNA from 1 species